rnacentral:rRNA from 1 species
UACGUAGGGGGCGAGCGUUAAUCGGAAUUACUGGGCGUAAAGCGUGCGCAGGCGGUCUGUUAAGUCCGAUGUGAAAUCCCCGGGCUUAACCUGGGAACUGCAUUGGUGACUGGCAGGCUUUGAGUGUGGCAGAGGGAGGUAGAAUUCCACGUGUAGCAGUGAAAUGCGUAGAGAUGUGGAGGAAUACCGAUGGCGAAGGCAGCCUCCUGGGCCAACACUGACGCUCAUGCACGAAAGCGUGGGGAGCAAACAGG